rnacentral:rRNA from 1 species
GAUGAACGCUGGCGGCGUGCCUAAUACAUGCAAGUCGAGCGAACGGACGAGAAGCUUGCUUCUCUGAUGUUGCGGCGGACGGGGGAGUAACACGUGGAUAACCCACCUAUAAGAAUGGGAUAACCUUGGGAAACCGUAGCUAAUACCGGAAAAUAUUUUGAACCGCAUGGUUUAAAAGUGAAAGACGGUCUUGCCGUCCCUUAUUGAUGGAUCCGCGCUGCAUUAGCUAGUUGGUAAGGUAACGGCUUACCAAGGCAACGAUGCAUAGCCGACCUGAGAGGGUGAUCGGCCACACUGGAACUGAGACACGGUCCAGACUCCUACGGGAGGCAGCAGUAGGGAAUCUUCCGCAAUGGGCGAAAGCCUGAUGGAGCAACGCCGCGUGAGUGAUGAAGGUCUUCGGAUCGUAAAACUCUGUUAUUAGGGAAGAACAUAUGUGUAAGUAACUGUGCACAUCUUGACGGUACCUAAUCAGAAAGCCACGGCUAACUACGUG